rnacentral:rRNA from 1 species
CAGCCUGAUGCAGCCAUGCCGCGUGUGUGAAGAAGGCCUUCGGGUUGUAAAGCACUUUCAGUCGUGAGGAAGGUGGUGUAGUUAAUAGCUGCAUUACUUGACGUUAGCGACAGAAGAAGCACCGGCUAACUCCGUGCCAGCAGCCGCGGUAAUACGGAGGGGUGCGAGCGUUAAUCGGAAUUACUGGGCGUAAAGCGCAUGCAGGGUGGUUUGUUAAGUCAGAUGUGAAAGCCCGGGGCUCAACCUCGGAAUAGCAUUUGAAACUGGCAGACUAGAGUACUGUAGAGGGGGGUAGAAUUUCAGGUGUAGCGGUGAAAUGCGUAGAGAUCUGAAGGAAUACCGGUGGCGAAGGCGGCCCCCUGGACAGAUACUGACACUCAGAUGCGAAAGCGUGGGGAGCAAACAGGAUUAGAUACCCUGGUAGUCCACGCCGUAAACGAUGUCUACUUGGAGGUUGUGGCCUUGAGCCGUGGCUUUCGGAGCUAACGCGUUAAGUAGACCGCCUGGGGAGUACGGUCGCAAGAUUAAAACUCAAAUGAAUUGACGGGGGCCCGCACAAGCGGUGGAGCAUGUGGUUUAAUUCGAUGCAACGCGAAGAACCUUACCUACUCUUGACAU